UACGUAGGGGGCAAGCGUUGUCCGGAAUCAUUGGGCGUAAAGCGCGUGUAGGCGGCCAGAUAAGUCCGCUGUGAAAUCUCGAGGCUCAACCUCGAGACGCCGAUGGAAACCAUCUAGCUAGAGUCCGGAAGAGGAGAGUGGAAUUCCUGGUGUAGCGGUGAAAUGCGCAGAUAUCAGGAAGAACACCCGUGGCUAAGGCGGCUCUCUAGUACGGUACUGACGCUGAGACGCGAAAGCGUGGGGAGCGAACAGG
rnacentral:rRNA from 1 species